rnacentral:ncRNA from 1 species
CACACAGGUUUGGUCCCCGCCUUAAAAUCAACUAUUACUUGACCUACACAUGCAAGUCUCCGCACACCCGUGAAAACGCCCCUGCCUCCCCCCAGGAAUAAGGAGCUGAUAUCAGGCACAACACUCGCCCAAGACAUCUAGCCAUGCCACACCCACAAGGGCCCUCAGCAGUGAUUAACAUUAAAAAUAAACGUCAGUUUGACUUAGUCAAUGUAAACAGAGCCGGCCAAUCUGGUGCCAGCCGCCGCGGCUACACCACGUGGCCCAAGUUGAUUUUCCACGGCGUAAAGCGUGAUUAAAGCAACACAACCCACUGGGGUUGAACUUAGACUAAGCUGUAGCACGCUUGUUUUUAAGAAAGCCUACCUCGAAAGACACCCCAAUCAACCAACUUGAACUCACGAUAACUGGGACACAAACUGGGAUUAGGUACCCCACUAUGCCCAGUCAUAAACUCUUACUUACACCCCCAACGCCAGGAAACUACGAGCAAAGCUUAAAACCCAAAGGACUUGACGGUACCCCACACCCCUCUAGAGGAGCCUGUCCUAUAAUCGAUACUCCCCGUUCAACCUCACCAUUUUUAGACUAUCAGCCUGUAUACUUCCGUCGCCAGCUUACCGCGUGAGCGCACAAGUAAGCUUAAUGUCUCCCACCAAUACGUCAGGUCAAGGUGCAGCUAAUAAGAUGGUAAGAGAUGGGCUACACUCUCUAUAAUAGAAAACACGAAAGACUAUGUGAAAUCAUAGCCAGAAGGUGGAUUUAGAAGUAAGGGGGGAGUAGAAUACCCCCAUUAACCCGGCACUGGGGUGCGUACACACCGCCCGUCACCCUCCUCAAUAGGUCUAGUCAGUAUCUAACAACCAACCCCUAAGUAGAGGAGGUAAGUCGUAACAUGGUAAGUAUACCGGAAGGUGUGCUUGGAAA